rnacentral:rRNA from 1 species
GACGAACGCUGGCGGCGUGCCUAAUACAUGCAAGUCGAGCGGACUUUUCGGAAUGCCUGCACUCCGGAAGUUUAGCGGCGGGCGGGUGAGUAACACGUAUGCAACCUCCCCAUAAGACCGGUAUAACAUUCGGAAACGAAUGCUAAUACCGUAUAGACUUACUUCUCACAUUUGAGUAUCGGAAAAGGCUUAUCAUUCUGCCGCUUAUUGGUUGCCCCGCGGCGCAUUAGCUAGUUGGUGGGGUAACGGCCUACCAAGGCGACGAUGCGUAGCCGACCUGAGAGGGUGAUCGGCCACACUGGAACUGAGACACGGCCCAGACUCCUACGGGAGGCAGCAGUAGGGAAUCUUCCGCAAUGGGCGAAAGCCUGACGGAGCAACGCCGCGUGAGUGAGGAAGGCCUUCGGGUCGUAAAGCUCUGUUGUCAGGGAAGAACGGGUAGGUGAGUAACUGCGCUUGCCAUGACGGUACCUGAGAAGAAAGCCACGGCUAACUACGUG